GUUUACAAACUUACAGCAGAAUGCAGAUUAUACCAGUGAGAUUCCAUUUAUUUUUGCUCAGUACUACGUAAAAUAAAAUAUUCCAUUAGUGACGAGAUAUAAAAAGGUACUCUGUGGUGACGAGUGUUUAAUGGGUUUCUGAAAGCACAGUACGCAGGAUAGUGGAGCAAGGGAGUAAAAAUGAAGGAGAAUAUCUACAAAAAAUAAAUAAAAAUAUGUAGUUUU